GACGAACGCUGGCGGCGUGCUUAACACAUGCAAGUCGAGCGGUAAGGCCUUUCGGGGUACACGAGCGGCGAACGGGUGAGUAACACGUGGGUGAUCUGCCCUGCACUUCGGGAUAAGCCUGGGAAACUGGGUCUAAUACCGGAUAUGACCUCCUAUCGCAUGGUGGGUGGUGGAAAGAUUUAUCGGUGCAGGAUGGGCCCGCGGCCUAUCAGCUUGUUGGUGGGGUAAUGGCCUACCAAGGCGACGACGGGUAGCCGACCUGAGAGGGUGACCGGCCACACUGGGACUGAGACACGGCCCAGACUCCUACGGGAGGCAGCAGUGGGGAAUAUUGCACAAUGGGCGAAAGCCUGAUGCAGCGACGCCGCGUGAGGGAUGACGGCCUUCGAGUUGUAAACCUCUUUCAGCAGGGACGAAGCGCAAGUGACGGUACCUGCAGAAGAAGCACCGGCUAACUACGUG
rnacentral:rRNA from 1 species